UUACUCGGGGAUAGCCUUUCGAAAGAAAGAUUAAUACCCGAUGGCAUAGUUCUUCCGCAUGGUAGAACUAUUAAAGAAUUUCGGUCAUCGAUGGGGAUGCGUUCCAUUAGGUUGUUGGCGGGGUAACGGCCCACCAAGCCUUCGAUGGAUAGGGGUUCUGAGAGGAAGGUCCCCCACAUUGGAACUGAGACACGGUCCAA
rnacentral:rRNA from 1 species